GGUCUGGUGGUGUAGUUGGUUAUCACGUCAGUCUAACAUUCAGAGCCUACCUUAACUCGGCUUGUAUGUUCCACUGAAGGUCUCCGGUUCAAGCCCGGGCUAGAUCA
rnacentral:tRNA from 1 species